UAUGUUUUCUAUCUCUCGCUCGUUUUUUUUUUUUUCUUUUUAUCUUUUUAU
rnacentral:ribozyme from 1 species